CUUCUUCUUUUUCGUAAAAAUGCAUUUGGCCAUGAAAGUAAAGCGAUAUACUGACAUAAGGGCCAUUCAAAAGGCCUGCACCGGCUUACUGGUGGCCAUAUCGGACUGUGCAAAAUGCUGUAUCGAAGCAGAAAUAUCCUAUUUUGAAUAAAAUAAAUUGAUAUUGUCGAUAAAAACAUUUUUUUACUUCGGAACGCACUUGUAUAUUAACUGACGAAUAGGCGAUGUAGUACGAGUACUAUAUUGAUGGGGUUUUGGGCAAAGAUUCGCUUAAAAGGCCUUAUUGAGUCCAUUCCAACCGGGAUUAACAAGGGAUCGCCAGAGGAUCAACUGCGACAAGCCCUUCAGCGUAAAAAAAAACGAGAAAUAAAAAAAAAUUCUUUAUUAAAUAAGGAAAAUAAAUAAUAAAUAAAAUAGAA